rnacentral:rRNA from 1 species
UACGUAGGGGGCUAGCGUUGUCCGGAAUCAUUGGGCGUAAAGCGCGUGUAGGCGGUCCGGUAAGUCCGCUGUGAAAGUCGGGGGCUCAACCCUCGGAUGCCGGUGGAUACUGUCGGGCUUGAGUACGGAAGAGGCGAGUGGAAUUCCUGGUGUAGCGGUGAAAUGCGCAGAUAUCAGGAGGAACACCCGUGGCGAAGGCGGCUCUCUGGGACGGUACUGACACUGAGACGCGAAAGCGUGGGGAGCGAACAGG